rnacentral:lncRNA from 1 species
UCAAUGAAAAAGUCUCAUCAAUUUCUUAUUUGAUUUGAGAUUAUUUGAGACUUUAAUCCAUUUUGUGUUAUUUUUAAUUGUUUUUAAUUGUUUUUAAUUGCUUUCUGAUUUCAAAAUUUGAUUUGAGAAAAUUAGUCAAAGUUUGUUUGACUAUGUUGAACCUAUGAGAAUUUAAUUGGACUUUUUGAAGUUGAUUUGAAUUGAAUUUGAGGUUUGACCUUAUUU